GUGGACUCUGAUGUUUUCCCAAUUUUGGUCAGCCUAGAUGGGAUUCAAAAUAUCAUAUUCAAGCUAGAAGAAGAGUCGUCAGUAUUGGAAAUUGACCUAAGCUACAAUAAUACAUCGCAAUCAAGUUAUUUUUUACCUGCGGCAGGAAAUAUUGGGCUUUCUCAAUCGUUUGGAAUAGGGGAUAAUUUUAAACAAAUUCUCCAAACCACGGUUCAACAAAACAAUGUAAUACACGGUAUUGUCGAAGAUUGCAAGAGUAAAGGCUUCGUGGACGAUAAAUCUUCGACAAUUCUCAUUAAUGAAUUUGUGUCAAAACUUAUAGAGAUAAAGGGAGACUCACCUGCGACGUCGGUGCAAAAACAAUUCGCCGCAGCAAUUGUUGAAAUUCUCCCCUGCUGGCGUUAUUCUGGCUCAAAAGAUGGC